rnacentral:rRNA from 1 species
CAGCCGCGCGGUAAUACGUAGGUGGCAAGCGUUGUCCGGAAUUAUUGGGCGUAAAGGGCUCGCAGGCGGUUUCUUAAGUCUGAUGUGAAAGCCCCCGGCUCAACCGGGGAGGGUCAUUGGAAACUGGGAAACUUGAGUGCAGAAGAGGAGAGUGGAAUUCCACGUGUAGCGGUGAAAUGCGUAGAGAUGUGGAGGAACACCAGUGGCGAAGGCGACUCUCUGGUCUGUAACUGACGCUGAGGAGCGAGAGCGUGGGGAGCGAACAGGAUUAGAUACCCCGGUAGUCCCUGUCUCUUAUACA